UGCCUGUACCAUAACCGACACAGGUGGGUAAGUAGAGUAUACUAAGGGGCGCGAGAUAACUCUCUCUAAGGAACUCGGCAAAAUAACUCCGUAACUUCGGGAGAAGGAGUGCCUUAUUCUUAAGGUUGCAAUAACAAGAUCCAAGCAACUGUUUAUCAAAAACACAGGUCUCCGCUAAGUCGUAAGACGAUGUAUGGGGGCUGACGCCUGCCCAGUGCCAGAAGGUUAAAGAAGUCGGUUAGCAAUAGCAAAGCUGGUAACUGAAGCCCUGGUGAACGGCGGCCGUAACAAUAACGGUCCUAAGGUAGCGAAAUUCCUUGUCGGGUAAGUUCCGACCCGCACGAAAGGCGUAAUGAUUUGGAUGCUGUCUCGGAGAGGGGCUCGGUGAAAUAGACUUGUCUGUGAAGAUGCGGACUACCUGCACCAGGACAGAAAGACCCUAUGAAGCUUUACUGUAACUUGAAAUUGAAAUUGGACUUUAUUCGCGCAGUAUAGGUGGGAGGCGUUGAUUAUAAUCUUGUGGGAUUAUUGGAGCCAUCAGUGAGAUACCACUCUUGUAAUGUUAGAUUUCUAACUUUGAAUCAUUAUCUGGUCAAAGGACAGUUUCAGGCGGGCAGUUUGACUGGGGCGGUCGCCUCCUAAACGGUAACGGAGGCGUACAAAGGUUUCCUCUGAACGGUUAGAAAUCGUAUCUAGAGUGUAAAGGCAUAAGGAAGCUUGACUGUGAGACCUACAAGUCGAGCAGGGACGAAAGUCGGUCUUAGUGAUCUGACGGUACUGAGUGGAAAGGCCGUCACUCAACGGAUAAAAGUUACUCUAGGAUAACAGGCUGAUCUCCCCCAAGAGUUCACAUCGACGGGGAGGUUUGGCACCUCGAUGUCGGCUCAUCGCAUCCUGGGGCGGUAGUACGUCCCAAGGGUUGGGCUGUUCGCCCAUGAAAGCGGUACGCGAGCUGGGUUCAGAGCGUCGUGAGACAGUUCGAUCCAUAUCCGGUGUAGGCGCUAGAAUAUUGAGAGGAGCCUCCUUUAGUACGAGAGGACCGAGAAGGACAUACCUCUGGUGUACCAGUUAUCGUGCCAACGGUAAACGCUGGGUAGCUAUGUAUGGAGUGGAUAACCGCUGAAAGCAUCUAAGUGGGAAGCCCACCUCAAGAUAAGUAUUCUCAUCACGUAAGUGAGUAAGGUCACGGUAAGACUAACCGUUUGAUAGGCAUUAAGUGUAAGUACAGUAAUGUAUGUGCUGAGAUGUCCUAAUAGACCGAGGACUC
rnacentral:rRNA from 1 species